rnacentral:lncRNA from 1 species
CUAGCACGUUUGUAUUCUUGAGAAAGUGGACAUUUGUGUUGUUGGGUCUGUGAUUUUCCAUCUGGCUUUGACUUUGGUCUGCUGACUUCUUUGACUCCACCCUUGACUGGAAGGACUGCCUCAUGGGACCUGCAGAUCAGAAUUAUGCUAACUAGGCUGCUGAGUGCCAGUUUGCCUGCCUGUGACGCCUCACUGUAAGAAUCCUGCCAGGCAAAUUGUCCACACCCGGAUCCCAUUCAGUCCUUUGAGAACAUGAAGAUAAAACCAAAACCACCUUGGAUUCCAUGAAAUAGCUUUCACAACCUCAGAAUCCCAUUUAUCCAUCCAUUUCAUUAAACAACUCACUGAGACACGACACAGCGUGGUACCGUGGGGUUGCUGUGGACUAGAGGUGGUGCCUGGUGGAAGCACUGAGCAUGCCUGAAAGAAGUAAUGGUGCCUGGUGGAUGGACAGGAUUCACAUGCACAUGAAGACAUGGGCAGAAGGAAGAACCGUCUGUGAGUGGGAUGCCUGGGACUCCAUGUCACCUUCCAUUGCUCCCUGUCUACAUGUCUUUGCCUGAGGUUUUCUCUGAAGCUGUGGAAGCCUGCAGCUCCGAGAAUUCAUACCCAAGGAGGAUCUCACAAACAAUGACUGAAGGGAAUUUGUAAAUAAAUACCUCAGCUCCCUC